AACGGGGGGGGCCAGCGUUAUUCGGAUUACUAGGCGUAAAGGGUGAGUAGAUGUCUUUAAUGGAGUUUUUGCGAAAAAUUAGGGUAAGAGCUAAUGAGCAAAUCCUACCCGUAAGAUUGAGUUAUGGUGAAGUUAGUUAGAAUUUCUGGUGUAAGGGUCAAAUCUACCGAUUCCAAAAGGAAUACCCGUAGUGAAGACGACGGGCUAGGCUAUAACUGACGUUGAGGCACGGAGGUAUAGGGAUCGAACGGG
rnacentral:rRNA from 1 species